rnacentral:rRNA from 1 species
CAUAUAUCACAAUCGCACGGAAAGCGUGGAUAACGGGAACUCCAAGGCGCUCAGCGUUUAGAAAAGGGCUUUUGCAAGGGUAAAUAGCUUGGAGAAGAAGGGGGGGGGAAAAAUGGGGCCAGGAGCCCGGGUAAACCCAGCGCGACGGGGGGGGGUCAGUUUUAUUUGGGUUAACAGGUCCGUAGGUGGCUAGAUAAGUCCUUUGGGAAAUCAUCUGGUUUAACCUGACGGGGUGGGGGGGAUACUGUUUAGCUUGGGACCGGGGGGAGUUAAAGUUAUUUAAGGGGGAGGGGGAAAAUGCUUUAAUCCCUGGAGGACCCCCUGGUGGGAAGGGGUCUUUCUAGAAGCGUUCUGAAAGUGAGGGACGAAAGCCUGGGGAGCGAUCCGGAUUAAAUUCCCGGGGAGGCCUGGCCGUAAACCCUGGGGGCAAGGGGUUGCAGAUUUUUCCGGAUUGCCCGGGGGCGAAACGGAGGGGUUAAAAAUCAUUCCCUGGGAAGU